UACGGUGAAUACGUUCCCGGACCUUGCACACUUUUUUUUUUUUUUUUUUUUUUUUUUUUUUUACCGCCCGUCAAGCCAUGGAAGCCGGGUGUACCUAAAGUCGGUAACCGUAAGGAGCCGCCUAGGGUAAAACUGGUGACUGGGGCU
rnacentral:rRNA from 1 species